AUUAUGACCAGUCUUGGAACUAGGAUUGGGGUGGGGUUCAUCCCACCCAGACCACAGAGACUGAAAAUAAGAAAGGGGUGAGGCCUAAGGGACAAUCAGGAUGUUUUUCAGAGAGAAGUGUGGAUGCUGGACAGGAAGAACCACAGAUACCAGAUACGGAAAAGGAAGAAUCAACACUUUCAGAGAUGGAGCCUGUUGAGCCACAGUACCAACUAGUCAAUGCUGAAUCGACUUCUCCCUUUCUACAUUGCCUGAGAGAAGUCAUUGGGGAAUACUCUGUACACGAAUUUUCACUGUUGGGGAAAACAGGUAUUGGAAGUGAUGGGUAGACCUCAGUUUGUAUGCAUUGCGUUAAUUACUAUUUCUUUGCUUUUCCUUUUUUUGUGCGGUUGCAGAGAGUCAAGGGAUUGGAUUGUGGAUUGCAUUGGUGGUUUUCCUCAGUUUCCUCAUCUUCUCCACAAGUUUCUACAUAUCGAAUGCAGAGCAGCCCUUCUUCAAAGGACCUCCUACGGAAGCUGCUAAGGAACUCAGUCUGUAGCUCUGCGUGGAGCCAUGUGUAAACACUGAACUGAGACCUGCCACCUCCUACUACCUAAGGGCCCAUUUUCAUCUGAUAUCAUCCCCCAGAAACAAACUCAUGAUGACUUCCAUGUUUUUUUUAGAUUAGAUACAUGGAGAAUUUUCCUUUCCCUUAGAAUUAAAAUCCUGCAUUCUAAUUUUCAGUAAGCUUUUUUAUUUCUGAAUAAUUUUAAAUUUAAAGAGAAGUUGCAAAGAUAGUAUAGAAUGUUCCCUUAUACCUGUUUUUAUUUAGAGUGAUGUUCCCAGGAGAAAUGAUAAUGCAGCAAUGGACAAGAACAGGAACAAGAGACAGUCUUACCAUCUUCUUACAAUUUAUAGAUGGGACAGUGGAAAGAGAAGCCACAUCGGGGUUGGGCAUGCAGAGACCUGGUCCUAAAUCUGUGUGACUUUUGCGAAAUCCUUUUGCCUCACAGAGCUCUAGGUUCUUAUCUGUCAAACAGGAACCAGACCAUCAGAUCCAUAGAGAUCCAACCAAUGAAGGAGACUUCGAAAACUUCACAUUGCCGUGUCAAUGUGAGGUUGCUGGAUGGUUAUGACAAGAAAUCACAUUAAAUUCACUGGGGUAACAUUGUUCAUGAAACGGGAUAAUGUGUUUCAGCGAUGAACCACCCAUGGCCUUACUACAGACAUAUUUCCACUUUGAAAAUGUGUGUGAGUGUACAUGUCUGUGUGUGAGGCAGAGAUUAGAAAGUGUAAGUGUGUGCGUUUUCAUUUUACACAUCUUACAUUUUCCUUUAAUUUGUUUGAAAGCCUGUUUUGUUUGUGGCUUCCAUUCCUGGAAGUCCCAUGAGUUGUUAGUGGUGAAGAUGGAACAGAUGUGUCCAACCCGGGGGACUCCUGCCCUCAGGGACUGAGCAGCUGCAAACCUCUCUCUCAUCUGAUUCCACUGUUUCUUCCACAUGUACACAUCAUGAGAAAUAUUGUUCAAUCAAUAUCUUCCCUUAAAUCAAUUCAUAUGCUUAUUUACAUGAAUUUACCUAAAACAGAAACUUGAUAUCACUUCUGUAAAUGAAAAAAUUAAACUUUCUGGCUUUAAAUAAAGCAUAACAAUAAUAAUCAUGUCAAAA
rnacentral:sRNA from 1 species